GACGAACGCUGGCGGCGUGCCUAACACAUGCAAGUCGAACGGAGUAGAGAGCUUCGGUUUUCUGCUUAGUGGCGAACGGGUGAGUAACGCGUGAGGAACCUGCCUCUCAGUGGGGGACAACAGUUGGAAACGACUGCUAAUACCGCAUAAUGUAUUUGGAUCGCAUGGUCUGAAUACCAAAGCUUUAUGUGCUGAGAGAUGGCCUCGCGUCUGAUUAGAUAGUUGGUGAGGUAACGGCUCACCAAGUCGACGAUCAGUAGCCGGUCUGAGAGGAUGAACGCCACAUUGGGCUGAGACACGGCCCAG
rnacentral:rRNA from 1 species